AAAACUUACCUGGUCCUGACACUAGAAGGAUUGACAGAUUGAUAGCUCUUUCUUGAUUUGGUGGAUGGUGGUGCAUGGCCGUUCUUAGUUGGUGGAGUGAUUUGUCUGGUUAAUUCCGAUAACGAACGAGACUCUAGCCUAUUAAAUAACACACAGAAUCAUGUCUUCUGCGGUGUUUCUUAAUGGGAUCAAGUGUGUUUAACACUUUGAAACAGAGCAAUAACAGGUCUGUGAUGCCCUUAGAUGUUCGGGGCCGCACGCGCGCUACAUUGAAAGACAAAAUGAGCGUUUCUGGUUUUUAACAAAACUAGUAAUCUUUGAAUGUUUUUCUUAAUGGGGAUAGGGGAUUGCAAUUGUGCCCCUUGAACGAGGAAUUCCCAGUAAGUGCUAGUCAUUAGCUAGUACUGA
rnacentral:rRNA from 1 species